rnacentral:rRNA from 1 species
AGUGAACGCUGGCGGUAGGCCUAACACAUGCAAGUCGAACGGCAGCACAGUAAGAGCUUGCUCUUACGGGUGGCGAGUGGCGGACGGGUGAGGAAUACAUCGGAAUCUACUUUUUCGUGGGGGAUAACGUAGGGAAGCUUACGCUAAUACCGCAUACGACCUACGGGUGAAAGCAGGGGAUCUUCGGACCUUGCGCGAUUGAAUGAGCCGAUGUCGGAUUAGCUAGUUGGCGGGGUAAAGGCCCACCAAGGCGACGAUCCGUAGCUGGUCUGGGAGGAUGAUCAGCCACACUGGAACUGAGACACGGUCCAGACUCCUACGGGAGGCAGCAGUGGGGAAUAUUGGACAAUGGGCGCAAGCCUGAUCCAGCCAUACCGCGUGGGUGAAGAAGGCCUUCGGGUUGUAAAGCCCUUUUGUUGGGAAAGAAAAGCAGCAGGUUAAUACCCCGCUGUUCUGACGGUACCCAAAGAAUAAGCACCGGCUAACUUCGUG